rnacentral:tRNA from 1 species
GCCGGGGUGGCACAACCUGGUACUGCGCAAGCCUGGAAAGCUUGUUUCCUUUGGGAUUUCCCGGUUCAAAUCCGGGCUCCGGCG